UACGGAGGGUGCGAGCGUUGUCCGGAAUCAGCUGGGCGUAAAGGGCGCGUAGGCGGCUUGGGAAGUCCGUGGUGAAAGCUCGUGGCUCAACUGCGAGUCGGCCAAUGGAUACUCCUAAGCUCGAGUCGACUAGAGGCAGAUGGAAUUCCGGGUGUAGCGGUGGAAUGCGUAGAGAUCCGGAAGAACACCGGUGGCGAAGGCGGUCUGCUGGGGUCGAACUGACGCUGAGGCGCGACAGCGUGGGGAGCAAACAGG
rnacentral:rRNA from 1 species